GAAAAGGAUAAAAGCAAAUGGAUGUGAGAAAGGAAGUUACUAGAAUAAUUAAUAUAUUUUUAAAGAUAAAUAAUUAAUCUAUUGAAUUGGAUUAGAGAAAAGCUAAUCUAAUUUGUUUGGAAGUCCAAUUAGAAAGAGAUCUAAUUUGAUUAAGAAAUGAGGAUAGAGAGCAUAUGGAGAUGGGCAAGGAAGUUAUAUAAAAAAAUUAACAUUUUAAAAGAAUAUUCUUUGCAUAGAAAAUGAUAAAAUUAAGAAAAAAUAUUUAUUGAUUUGAAAUGGUUAUUUAUAUGCGUGUGCACAUAUAUGCAUAAAGUUAUUAAGCCAAAGAGAGGAAGAGAGAAGAAAGAGGGUGAUAGUCUCUUUCGAAAAAGACAGAAGUUACUUGGAUAAUUAAUAUAUUUUUAAUAUAAAUAACUAGUCUAAUGAGUUGAAAUUGAGAGAAGAUAAUUUAAUUUGUUUGGAAAUCCAAUUAGAAAGAGGUAUAAAAUAAUUGAAAAAAAAAGAUAGA
rnacentral:lncRNA from 1 species